GACGAACGCUGGCGGCGUGCUUAACACAUGCAAGUCGAACGGAAAGGCCUGCUUUCCCUUGUGGAUUGCGGGUACUCGAGUGGCGAACGGGUGAGUAACACGUGAGUGAUCUGCCCCCAACUUGGGUAUAAGCCUGGGAAACUGGGUCUAAUUCCCGAUAGGACUGCAGGGUGGUGCCUGUGGUGGAAAACGAUUUUCUAGUGGUUGGGGAUGAGCUCGCGGCCUAUCAGCUUGUUGGUGGGGUAAUGGCCUACCAAGGCGGCGACGGGUAGCCGGCCUGGGAGGGUGGACGGCCAAAUUGGGAACGGGAUACGGCCCAGAGUCCUACGGGAGGCAGCAGUGGGGAAUAUUGCACAAUGGGCGGAAGCAUGAUGCAGCGACGCCGCGUGGGGGAUGACGGCCUGCGGGUUGUAAACUCCUUUCGACCGCGAGGAAGCCACCUGGUUGGAAGGGUGGUGACGGUAGUGGUAGAAGAAGCACCGGCUAACUACGU
rnacentral:rRNA from 1 species